UGUAAGUUAGUUUUGUCUUAUUUCAAACUUACAAAGAUAUUUUUACUAGAAACUUGAGCAAAGAUUCUUGGUAAGGUUUUGUGUUUUUGCAGUGUAGAAAUGAUAAAGGUUGGGAUCCAACAUACACAACAAUAUUUUAUUUUCUUUCUUUGCGUCACUUGAGAAGCUCAUUCAUGUUUUUAUCACAAUUCAUUACUUUCUAGAAUCCAGUUGGUUUUAAAUGCUGCUCAGCUUUUACCAAACUUUUUAGUUCCUAUUAUUUAUCUUAUUUUUAUUUCUUUGGCCAACUUUGUUGUUUUUAAAGUGUUUUCUAAAUAAAGAUGAAAUGAAACCAAAUCAUAAUCUGAGAGGUUUAGAUUAACCUAAUCUGUUCCCUCAGUUUCUCUACAUGUCUUCUGACUUUAACUAGGACCUUUAAAGGUUUUCUUUCAGCAAACGUCAAAAUCUCAAUAAAUGCAUUAAAGUUUGUGUUUGUAUAAUGAAAAAUGCAAAACAAAAAGUGCAUAAAUACUUUUAUACGUUACUGUUCUCUGUGCUUAUCGUGUCAUUCAGCUGAUAUUGUGUUUGUAUCUUUAAUUAACUUUUCUUGUUCUGCUCCACAUUUUUAUUUAAAUUUUUUUAUUUUCUAAGUUUUCAUGAUUCUGUGCCGCCAUUUUGAACCAUUUCUUAUUAUUGAUGUGUUUUAUUAUCUUCUCUGCUGUUUAAGGAAACAAACCUUCCUGUUUCUUGUUUUCAUGUCUUUUCUCUCCUGAUCCUGAACAGAAGUUUUUUCUGAUCAAAUAUUUUUCUGGAAACUAUCAGAACAGACAUAUUUUGUUAUGUAAACAUGUUCUGCUUUAAAGAUUGAGCCUCUGAAGCUGCAGCUCUCUGGUUUCAGUGGAAAACCUCCCUGUUUUCCUCAGAGGUAACCUGGGAUCAGAUGGUAAAAGUCUCACACAGUUGAGAUAACGGCUUCCUGGGCCGAUCCCAGAUGGAUCCCAGCACCCAGAGCCGUAAACAAACCCACCCAGAACAGAAAACACAGGAGCGUUUCCUCUGCCUCCGUCUGACUGCUCCGGUUUCACAAACUAAACCUCUGACCUCCGCUCAUGUGGAAGGAGACGACCUGAGUUGGGUGAAAAUCCAGCCAGAUGACCUGAAGGCGUCCAGAUCAGACGAACCAGCAGAUGUUUGGUUCUGAUGCUGCAGCAGAUGGAGUCACCAUCCAUCCACCAUCAACAGGAAACCAGGAAGCUUCAAAUCUUCCACCUGAGCCAAAACCAGACUGGAGCAGUUUGGUUUUAUUCAGCUGAAAACCAAAACCUGAGAGGCGGAGGAGUCGUUUCUAUCCCGUCUACUUGGUAUUAAACCUCUUGAUGCCUGCUGAAGCUCCUGGACUGAAGAUCCAAUCAGAGGAGACAUUUCUUCAUGCUUCCAGUCUGCAGCCUGCCCCUCCACGCUUACAAACCAAAAACAAAAUGUUUUUGAUUAUGAACACAAUAAGAAAUGGAGAUUUUAGGAGAUUUUCCUGAAGUUCUUAUGCAAAAUAUGCUCAUAAUAUCUACAAGCUUCAAACUAAGCUACCUACCUUUCUAAUACUGUGUAAAAUGGCUUAAAUGCCUUUUUUUUUUUUUUUUUUUACAAUUUAUUGCCAGAAUAAUCAAUAGAAUAAUCGAUUAGUCUUUAGCUGCAGUCCGUUCACUGAACUGUUCUUAGUUUUGGUUCACCGUUUUCAGGAGAGUGAUUCCUCCGCCUGUUGGCCAAACGGUGCAUCAUAAUGGUGCAACGACAAAUAUGACACAUUAGUGCGUCUGGUUUUGCUGCAGGGACGUUUUUCUGUCCACCAAUCGAUGGCCUGCGCUGCGCGACGCCGGUAACUUCACCCUAACUUCUUCUUACAACGGAAAAAGAAAAUAGAGAACCGAACUGAUCCGCUCAGUGGAAACUAGGCACACAUUUCAAAUGUCAUGUUGGAAAUAAAACUUCAUGAUCAAAACA